rnacentral:lncRNA from 1 species
AGGCCCAGAUUAUCUGUAGGUGGUCACACCGAGGCCCAGGUUAUCUGUAGAUGUUCACACCGAGGCCCAGUUUAUCUGUACGUGGUCACACCGAGGCCCAGGUUAUCUGUAGGUGACCACACCAAGGCCCAGGUUAUCUAUUAUCUGUACGUGGUCACAUUGAGUCCCAGGUUAUCUGUUGUCUGUAUGUGGCCACACCGAGGCCCAGGUUAUCUGUUAUCUGUAUGUGGUCACAUUGAGUCCCAGGUUAUCUGUUAUCUGUAAGUGGUCACACCGAGGCCCAGGUCACUGCUCACGCGUGAUCUGCGUGUGGUUUAUUCUUAGCUCUUCUAAUGGCUUGGACGAUCCCCCAGAGACGUCCUGCUCUCUCUGAUCUGUAUGUCAACAGGCUUGAAGGGAUAUCCGUUGCAGAUCUUUUUGGUUUUAUUGAGUGAUAAAGGAGAAAUCAGAGUAUUUUGUUUUCUGACUAUGGAGUGAGGAAGAGAUGGUUGGUAACAUAACAUAAAGCCAUGGCAUAAAAAGGUGUCCUGGUACCCAAAUA